AACGCCAGAGCCGCGCGCUAGGCGGAGACUGUUGGUGGCGGAGGCCGGAGUCGCACGCCUACGAGACUGCGCGGACCCGCCCGAAAGGAAAAUGGAAGUAGUGGCGUGAGGCUGCGACAGUGAAGGCUAUUUUUCUCUUUUUAAAGGGCCGCUAGACCUCCCGUAUAAAGGAAGCGCCCGACGGGCCUCCGAAGUACACGCCCAGGCCCCCAUAGCGCAGCCGCCCGACCGCCUCUCUCCACACCGGCCAGAGUCCACCCUCUCCCACUUUCCCCUCCCCUCCCCGCCCCUUCCCUCCCCACCCCUCCCCGCCCCUUCCCUCCCCACCCCUUCCCUCCCCACCCCUUCGCCCUGCCAACCCUAGACCCGGCAUGCGCUGCGCCGACCUUUUCCUUCCGAGCCGACCCCCCCCACCUUCGGCGCCUCCCAAUGACAAGCGGCGCGGAGCAUUGUGGUCCCGUGCGCAAGAGCGAGGCCGAGGGCAGAAAAAGAAAGCAAAAGACUAGGGCGAGUCGGUAGAGCGGGCCCCGCGCAUGCGCAAGGGCGGAGGCGGUGGUGAAAAAGGGUGGUGCGUGGUCUACGGCGAGCGGAGUGGGGCGGGGUCGCGCGCCUUGGCGGGGAGUCCGCGAGCCAGGAGGGGCGGGGGGUGAAUGAAGGAGCGGGCGGAGGAGGAAGUGUCAUGGCGUCGGGCCGUGGAGCUUCUUCUCGCUGGUUCUUUACUCGGGAACAGCUGGAGAACACGCCGAGCCGCCGCUGCGGAGUGGAGGCGGAUAAAGAGCUCUCGUGCCGCCAGCAGGCGGCCAACCUCAUCCAGGAGAUGGGACAGCGUCUCAAUGUCUCUCAGCUUACGAUAAACACUGCGAUUGUUUAUAUGCACAGGUUUUAUAUGCACCAUUCUUUCACCAAAUUCAACAAAAAUAUAAUAUCGUCUACUGCAUUAUUUUUGGCUGCAAAAGUGGAAGAACAGGCUCGAAAACUUGAACAUGUUAUCAAAGUAGCACAUGCUUGUCUUCAUCCUCUAGAGCCACUGCUGGAUACUAAAUGUGAUGCUUACCUUCAACAGACUCAAGAACUGGUUAUACUUGAAACCAUAAUGCUACAAACUCUAGGUUUUGAGAUCACCAUUGAACACCCACACACAGAUGUGGUGAAAUGUACCCAGUUAGUAAGAGCAAGCAAGGAUUUGGCACAGACAUCCUAUUUCAUGGCUACCAACAGGUUGUUAUCCUGACCCUCUUUGUUGCACUGUUGUAGCACACUAUAGCUUCCUUUAAUGCAGGGCCCCCUCAAUGUGUCUCUUACCCUUGUUGCGACAGGAGACUGGACCAUCUACUGUGGUGGUACCUUCCUGUUUGCUUUGCGGUGUAUUGUACAAGGGACUUUGGGCACAGAGGGGUUAAAUGCACAAUGUGAAGUGUAGUGGUGCUUUCUGAUGACAUAUUCUCGAUUUGUGAGUGCAUAAGUCUAAAAUUGGUAGCCUGAAUAGCAGCUAAAGAUUACAAAGAGCUAAACUUAACGUAGAAAUUCGAGCAACUUGUCUGCAUCUUACAACCUUCUGUCUUCAGUACAAACCAACAGUGAUAGCAUGUGUAUGCAUUCAUUUGGCUUGCAAAUGGUCCAAUUGGGAGAUCCCUGUAUCAACUGAUGGAAAGCAUUGGUGGGAAUAUGUGGAUCCUACAGUUACUCUAGAAUUAUUAGAUGAGCUAACACAUGAGUUUCUACAAAUAUUGGAGAAAACGCCUAAUAGGUUGAAGAAGAUUCGAAACUGGAGGGCUAAUCAGGCAGCUAGGAAACCAAAAGUAGAUGGACAGGUAUCAGAGACACCACUUCUUGGUUCAUCUUUGGUCCAGAAUUCCAUUUUAGUAGAUAGUGUCACUGGUGUGCCUACAAACCCAAGUUUUCAGAAACCAUCUACAUCAGCAUUCCCUGCACCAGUACCUCUAAAUUCAGGAAAUAUUUCUGUUCAAGACAGCCAUACAUCUGAUAAUUUGUCAAUGCUAGCAACAGGAAUGCCAAGUACUUCAUACGGUUUAUCAUCACACCAGGAAUGGCCUCAACAUCAAGACUCAGCAAGGACAGAACAGCUAUAUUCACAGAAACAGGAGACAUCUUUGUCUGGUAGCCAGUACAACAUCAACUUCCAGCAGGGACCUUCUAUAUCACUGCAUUCAGGAUUACAUCACAGACCUGACAAAAUUUCAGAUCAUUCUUCUGUUAAGCAAGAAUAUACUCAUAAAGCAGGGAGCAGUAAACACCAUGGGCCAAUUUCCGCUACUCCAGGAAUAAUUCCUCAGAAAAUGUCUUUAGAUAAAUAUAGAGAAAAGCGUAAACUAGAAACUCUUGAUCUCGAUGUAAGGGAUCAUUAUAUAGCUGCCCAGGUAGAACAGCAGCACAAACAAGGGCAGUCACAGGCAGCCAGCAGCAGUUCUGUUACUUCUCCCAUUAAAAUGAAAAUACCUAUCGCAAAUACUGAAAAAUACAUGGCAGAUAAAAAGGAAAAGAGUGGGUCACUGAAAUUACGGAUUCCAAUACCACCCACUGAUAAAAGCGCCAGUAAAGAAGAACUGAAAAUGAAAAUAAAAGUUUCUUCUUCAGAAAGACACAGCUCUUCUGAUGAAGGCAGUGGGAAGAGCAAACAUUCAAGCCCACAUAUUAGCAGAGACCAUAAGGAGAAGCACAAGGAGCAUCCUUCAAGCCGCCACCACACCAGCAGCCACAAGCAUUCCCACUCGCAUAGUGGCAGCAGCAGCGGUGGCAGUAAACACAGUGCCGACGGAAUACCACCCACUGUUCUGAGGAGUCCUGUUGGCCUGAGCAGUGAUGGCAUUUCCUCUAGCUCCAGCUCUUCAAGGAAGAGGCUGCAUGUCAAUGAUGCAUCUCACAACCACCACUCCAAAAUGAGCAAAAGUUCCAAAAGUUCAGGUGGGCUACGGACAUCUCAGCACCCUCGUGAAACUGGACAAGAAGCCAGUGGAGACCAACGGUCCUGAUGCCAAUCACGAGUACAGUACAAGCAGCCAGCAUAUGGACUACAAAGACACAUUCGACAUGCUGGACUCGCUGUUAAGUGCCCAAGGAAUGAACAUGUAAUAAUUUGUUUAGGUCAAUUUUUCCUUUACUUUUUUAAUUUAAAAAUUGUUAGAAUGGAAAAAUUCCUUCUGAUCUAGCAGUGGUAACCCCUGCUGUUGCUGCCACUGCUUCAAUAUUUGUAAGUGCUGCUUUAUUCUUCAUUCUGAAAAGAAGAGAUUAUAGUAAACAAGUCUUUAUCUCCACAUAUGAUAGUGUUAUAAAUACUGUAAAAGCAUGGAAGGUGCAAAACUCAGUAUUUCUACAAUUGCAGCUAAGAACAUUAGGAUGAAUGGCUGGCUGCUUCUAGGAAUAUAAGAUGCCUCAAGCAUUCAUUAUUUAUGAUUUGAAUACUGUAGCUAUUUUUUGUUGCUUGGCUUUUGAAUGAGUGUAAAUUGUUUUCUUUUGUGUAUUUAUACUUGUAUGUAUGAUUUGCAUGUUUCAAUGAUAAAGGGAUAAAACAGUAUACUGACAACUGUUUACAAGAAAGUGGAGAAAAAUGUACAUACAUUUUUGUAUGUUUAGAUAUUACCAUAAAUACUCAGGAUUGGAGCUGCUUGUAAGUAUAACAAUAUACAGAAUAACUUUAUUUUAUCUUGUCAGAGUCCAUCACUAAUCUAAAACAAAGGUGGCACUUUUUUAUGUUAACCUUAAACUCUAGGCCUUACUGGAAGCCACUGAUAGGGGACACUUCACUACCAGAUGUGUAUGCAGUGCCACAGAUGGUCAUAUACACUGUGAGGCACUGAAAUUUUGCCUUCAGAGGUUCUGACCAGAUUGGCUGCUGAAAUAGCCCCUAACUUUCUGAAGGCUUGAAGAGGAGAAAAUAAAGUUUACAUACUCUUGAUGUGAAGUGCAUUUAAAUGUUUGUUGGCUUGUUGCAGUUCUAUGAAACAGAGCUGUUAAUAAUGGUUAUGUGGAUUACUGUGAUUUGAAAACUAAAUUCACAAUAACUUACCUAGUAGAGAUUUAGUGAGUUGUUUCCUUUAAAGAAUUUUACACUACAUAUUUUAAUAGUAAACAGGGAUCACUUUUCCUUUAGCAUUCAGAAUGACACCAUAUUCUUAAAUAUACUCCUUCCCUGAAGCGUGUUUGUGUGUGAUGCCAUAUUUCUUUUUCAGGUAAAUGUAGUCUUCCUUAUAAAAAUGAAAUUAAACCUAUGCUCUCAAUUCUUUUAUAUUCUAACAAUAAAUAAAAAAGAAAAGAUUACUGACUGUGCAUUGUACCUGUAUUUAUAGUUUAUGGUUAUCAGGAAGCUCUGUAAGAAAGAAAAGGUCAGCCUCCCAGGCAAACCAGUAGUGGAGGUUUUACAUUUGUUUGCACAUCUCAGUAUAUUUCUGUUGAGGUAAAGUUUGCACAGUCAUCUGACUUCUGAUCAAGCAUUAUAUUUUAACUUGUUUAGAUUUUGUCUUAAACACCAGUAAUAUGGCUCUUGUUUAUCAGCUAAUCUUGAAUUUAUUCUGUGGUAAAUCUUUUGAGUUGUUGAGUAUAUUUGAGAUUGAUUGGAUUCAACCUCUCGUUGAACUGAAAACUUAAUUUUUUCUCUGUAUUUUUGUUACAAAGCCACUGAUACGUGCACAAUUGUAAUUAAGUAUGUUGCAGUUGUAAAUAUUAGAGUUUAAUCUCAUGCUCUACCUUUAUUUAGCAAUUACCUAAUUUGCCAGUAGCUUUAUAAUUUUUAAAGAUAAUUGUUCAUUAUUUUGUCAAUGUUAUUUGAACUUGGGGUACUUAGGAGCCUCUUUGUAGGGACUGUGCCUAGGUAGCAUGUCCUAACAUUUGUUCUUGUCUUGCAUAACUUCAGUAAUCUUUGUCAUUAUAUGUAACUUUGUUGCUCUGUAUGGCAUAAUAUUGUAUCCAUAAACAUGGUAAUUUUGAUACAGUUAUACUUUUACAGUGGUACAUAAUCCAAGGACUAGUAUAGAAUUAAGCUGAGUGCAAGAUGAGGGAGGGAAGGGCUUUCUUGGUAAUUUAGAUGUGAAACCUCUACAGAGCUAUCAUGUAAAAACUACAUAAGGUGGUUGUGCUACUGUAUAAUUGGGGGUGAUAAUACCAGGAAUUUUAAUAAGAUUUUGUAAAGAAUAUCCAGAAAAGUAGUGAACUUAUUUUCAGUAGACAUAGAAAACAAUGUGAAUAUUUAAGGUCUGUGACUAUAGUUAAACUUCACUAAGAAUUUGCAGAAUUGUUUUGAGAUGUGGGAAUAAAGGUAAUUUUAUUGAAUCUUCAUUGGUGCUAAUGAUGGACAGUUAAAAAGAUAGCUAGUGUAUAUUGUUAUGGGUCAGUACUUAUUAGUACUUCCAAAAUUGAAUUUGAAAUGCUAUGUAUUCACUUUUCACUCUGUAAAUGUAAUUCUUUACAAUGACUUUAUUUAUUAAAGGGCAGCCAGUUGUCAUUUUUACAGGAUUGUGUGAGCUAUUCAAACUCUUCAACCCCUGAACAGGGUAUUAAGCUUCCAAAAUAAUGAUGGGGAUAAAUAUGGAAAUCCUUUUUAAGUUGUAUUUCCAUUAAACAAAAACCCUUAUAAUUCAUACUAUCAUGAAUUUGCUUUAUCCAUCUCAUUUGCAUAACAGUUCAUCUGCCUGGUCCCAUUAGGCUCUACCAAAGAAAGACUCUGAUGAGUGGACAUUAUUACUGUGACUCUUGUAAGUAGCCAUAAAUAAACCAAAAUAGUAUCAAAUUUAGGUAUGAAAUUCCACAUGUGCAAAGUACUGUUAAGGUGAUAACAUUUUUGAUGAGAUUUAAAAAAAAUAUUUGAAAUAUUAAAAAGCAUUAUCUUUAAACAUCCUAUAAAA